GGUUAAGCGACUAAGCGUACACGGUGGAUGCCCUGGCAGUCAGAGGCGAUGAAGGACGUGCUAAUCUGCGAUAAGCGUCGGUGAGGUGAUAUGAACCGUUAUAACCGGCGAUUUCCGAAUGGGGAAACCCAGUGUGUUUCGACACACUAUCAUUAACUGAAUCCAUAGGUUAAUGAGGCGAACCGGGGGAACUGAAACAUCUAAGUACCCCGAGGAAAAGAAAUCAACCGAGAUUCCCCCAGUAGCGGCGAGCGAACGGGGAGGAGCCCAGAG
rnacentral:rRNA from 1 species